CCGUGCUGACAGCCCCAAGCAAUGCUUCGCACCAGCCUGGGGAGUCACGCCGUCUGCGCAGGAGUUAGAGGAGUCAGCCUGGGGGUGUUUUAUGAACUCAGCUGCUGGAGCACAGGGACACGAAGCUGAAAUAGGAAGACCAUCUAGUGAAGCCCUCGUUCAAAGUCACAACUUCGGCUCUGCCCUUCUUGCCAAGGUGGACUGGCGGAUUUCGUCGGUGAGAGGAGCUGGUGUUUGGCAGACAAACCUCAGACUGAAUCCUUGGCAGGAGCAGCUACGUUGGUGAUGGAAUUAAAGUUUCAUUUUAAAAUAAUUUCUAGGCCCCAUGUUUAUGAUGAAUGAAUUCUGUGUUUGCUACAAGCAGAGAGGAUGAAGAAUAUUGCUGUGUUACAGUCUUGCUUGUUUCAGUUGCUCAGUGAAUGUGAACUGCCCGAAAAGACAACUGCUUCUGUAUCAGCUUUAAGUAUUUCUCUGCUAUAUUUGCCUCAGCUGGAGUGUCUGGGACGUGGUUACUCUGCAAAUAUUGCCAUGGUGGAUGUUUCGGGUGAAUACGCUUGGGAUAGAGUUUCCAAGCAGGAAGAUUCAGAUAAACAGCCGCUUCGAGGUGAAAAUUAGGGAGUUCACGUUACACCCAUCUCUUGAAUUUGUAACUGACUAUUCACCCUGAAAAUCUGAUUCUAAGAACUCAGCGUGUCCCAUUGGGAGCAGAAUAAUACCACAGAAACCGUGGCCAGCCUGAGUCUUGAAUAUUGAGAAUUGUGAUUAACUUCUCAGGAAUGUAUGCGGAGCAAGUCAUAUUUUCUGGGCUUUUUUAGGUAAUUAUUUCAAAACUUGAAUCUGUGAAUGAAGAUUAUAAACAGUUCCCAGGCAAACAUCUUAGAGAAGGACGUGAAAUGCAUCAAAUAAAUAAUGGGUUCUGACCUGUUCA